GGUGGCUCAGUGGUAGAGUGCUUGCCUUGCAUGCAUGAAACCCUGGGUUUGAUUGCUCAGCACCA
rnacentral:tRNA from 1 species